rnacentral:rRNA from 1 species
AUUGAACGCUGGCGGCAUGCUUUACACAUGCAAGUCGAACGGUAGAGGGGCAACCCUCGAGAGUGGCGAACGGGUGAGUAAUGCAUCGGAACGUGCCCAGUAGUGGGGGAUAGCCCGGCGAAAGCCGGAUUAAUACCGCAUACGACCUGAGGGUGAAAGCGGGGGAUCGCAAGACCUCGCGCUAUUGGAGCGGCCGAUGUCAGAUUAGCUAGUUGGUGGGGUAAAGGCCUACCAAGGCGACGAUCUGUAGCUGGUCUGAGAGGACGACCAGCCACACUGGGACUGAGACACGGCCCAGACUCCUACGGGAGGCAGCAGUGGGGAAUUUUGGACAAUGGGCGCAAGCCUGAUCCAGCCAUGCCGCGUGCGGGAAGAAGGCCUUCGGGUUGUAAACCGCUUUUGUCAGGGAAGAAAUCUUCUGAGCUAAUACCUCGGGAGGAUGACGGUACCUGAAGAAUAAGCACCGGCUAACUACGUG